rnacentral:rRNA from 1 species
UUUUUAGCGGCGGACGGGUGAGUAACGUGUGGGUAACCUGCCUUUUACUGGGGAAUAAUCACUGGAAACGGUGACUAAUACCGCAUACGGUUCUUGGAAGGCAUCUUCUGAGAAAGAAAGGAUUUAUUCGGUAAAAGAUGGGCCCGCAUCUGAUUAGCUAGUUGGUGAGAUAACAGCCCACCAAGGCGACGAUCAGUAGCCGACCUGAGAGGGUGACCGGCCACAUUGGGACUGAGACACGGCCCAAACUCCUACGGAAGGCAGCAG